UGUACAACACACACGCAUUUUUCAGAUGGAUCUUUUGAACAGUAUAUUUUGGAUGACCUCUUGUGGCAGCAACGAGUAAAGCGUGCUGACUAAAUGCGUCACUGAAUGUUUUAUUUUUUAUUUUUAUACUUUGGCCCUUUUGAUGGAAUCAUGAUAAUAAACGAACGUUGUAAAUUGACUAAAAGCAAUUCCUGACUAUUACUAGACUAUGUUCAUAAAUAUAUGCAUAUUCAUAUUUAGGAACAGUAAGAAAAGAAGUGAAAAGUAAGAGGAAUAUGGUUGAUUUGUGAGAUAGUUUGGGAAUCGUUUAUAUAUAUAUAUAUAUUUAUAUAUAUAUUAGUGUAUCACAACAUACUAAUGGCCCCAUGGAGAGGAGUGCUGCUGCCUGACCGCUAGCUUGGAAGCCCCGUAUCCUCAGGCCGGCAAUCUCGUCUUUAGUUUCCGGCAUAAGGUCGCUGUAACUCGGAGCAUGAAAAAAAAAAAAAAAAAGACUUUCAAACUACAUAAACUGGAAUUGAGAUGCGUGAUUCCUUAAAUACACAACAUCCCAGUUGCUCUUU